rnacentral:rRNA from 1 species
AUACGUAGGUGGCAAGCGUUGUCCGGAAUUAUUGGGCGUAAAGCGCGCGCAGGUGGUUCCUUAAGUCUGAUGUGAAAGCCCCCGGCUCAACCGGGGAGGGUCAUUGGAAACUGGGGAACUUGAGUGCAGAAGAGGAUAGUGGAAUUCCAAGUGUAGCGGUGAAAUGCGUAGAGAUUUGGAGGAACACCAGUGGCGAAGGCGACUGUCUGGUCUGUAACUGACACUGAGGCGCGAAAGCGUGGGGAGCAAACAGGAUUAGAUACCCUGGUAGUCCACGCCGUAAACGAUGAGUGCUAAGUGUUGGGGGGUUUCCGCCCCUCAGUGCUGCAGCUAACGCAUUAAGCACUCCGCCUGGGGAGCACGGUCGCAAGACUGAAACUCAAAUGAAUUGACGGGG